rnacentral:rRNA from 1 species
ACCCGCACAAGCGGUGAUCAUGUGUUUAAUUCGAUGAUACGCGAAGAACCUUACCAGGUCUUGACAUCCCUUGCAAAGCUAUGGAGACAUAGUGGAGGUUAUCAAGGAGACAGGUGGUGCAUGGUUGUCGUCAGCUCGUGUCGUGAGAUGUUGGGUUAAGUCCCGCAACGAGCGCAACCCUUGCCUUAGUUGCCAGCAGUUCGGCUGGGCACUCUAAAGGGACUGCCGGUGUUAAACCGGAGGAAGGUGGGGAUGACGUCAAGUCCUCAUGGCCUUUAUGACCAGGGCUACACACGUACUACAAUGGCCGAUACAAAGGGCAGCGACACUGCGAAGUGAAGCCAAUCCCGUAAAAUCGGUCUCAGUCCGGAUUGGAGUCUGCAACUCGACUCCAUGAAGUUGGAAUCGCUAGUAAUCGUGGAUCAGCAUGCCACGGUGAAUACGUUCCCGGGCCUU